CCAAAGGCUCUUUUCAGAGCCACCUACAAAGUCAGAAAAAGAGCCU
rfam:Manacus vitellinus contig46828, whole genome shotgun sequence.